GUGAGGAAUAUUGGACAAUGGGCGCAAGCCUGAUCCAGCCAUGCCGCGUGCAGGAAGACGCAUCUAUGGUGUGUAAACUGCUUUUGUACGGGAAGAAACACUCCCUCGUGAGGGAGCUUGACGGUACCGUAAGAAUAAGGAUCGGCUAACUCCGUGCCAGCAGCCGCGGUAAUACGGAGGAUCCAAGCGUUAUCCGGAAUCAUUGGGUUUAAAGGGUGCGUAGGCGGUUUAAUAAGUCAGUGGUGAAAGCCCAUCGCUCAACGAUGGAACGGCCAUUGGUACUGUUAGACUUGAAUUACAAGGAAGUAACUAGAAUAUGUAGUGUAGCGGUGAAAUGCUUAGAUAUUACAUGGAAUACCAAUUGCGAAGGCAGGUUACUACUUGUGGAUUGACGCUGAUGGACGAAAGCGUGGGGAGCGAACAGGAUUAGAAACCCCAGUAGUCC
rnacentral:rRNA from 1 species